UGCGGAAUAGUUUAACGGUAGAACACCAGUCUCAUAAACUGAAUAUGCUAGUUCGAUUCUGGCUUCCGCAACCA
rnacentral:tRNA from 1 species